rnacentral:rRNA from 1 species
AAAAACAUGUCUUUUUGAUUAUAAUUUAAAGUCUAACCUGCCCACUGAUUUUAUAUUUAAAGGCCGCAGUAUUUUGACUGUGCAAAGGUAGCAUAAUCAUUUGUCUUUUAAUUGAAGGCUGGAAUGAAUGGUUGAAUGAAAUAAUAUCUGUCUCAUUUUAAUAAAUUAAGAAUUUAGCUUUUUAAUUAAAAGGUUAAAAUGUAAUUAAAAGACGAGAAGACCCUAUAGAUUUUUAUAAUAAUAAUUUUAUAUUUUAAUGAAAAAAAAAUAUUUUAUAAAAUUUAUUAUUAUUUAAUUGGGGUGAUUAAAAAAUUAAAUAAACUUUUUUUAUAUAAAAACAUUAAUUUAUGAAUAAUUGAUCCAAUUUUAUUGAUUAAAAGAUUAAAUUACCUUAGGGAUAACAGCGUAAUUUUUUUAGAGAGUUCUUAUCGAUAAAAAAGAUUGCGACCUCGAUGUUGAAUUAAAGGUUAUUUUUAAAUGUAGCAGUUUAAAGUUUAGGUCUGUUCGACCUUUGAAUCUUUACAUGAUCUGA